rnacentral:lncRNA from 10 species
CUGGUCUUUUCUAUUUAAAGCCACAAAAUUGACUGUUUAUUUUCUAGUCAUAGUUUAAUUUUGUUUUGUUUUAAGCUCUCUUAGUUGAUUUCUGCCCAAUCAAUAAGAUCAGCCACACAUUUAAUCUGAUUCUGUCAUUGAGACAGCUGAACACCCUGGCAAUUCUACAGCCUACUCUGGGCUGACUUGAGGAAAGAGAGCUGGAGGAGCGGGGUUCAACAUUUUUCAAAAUAAAAAGUUGGUAGAAUAAUAGGAAGCCAUGAGGACCAAGAAGCUCACAUUUCCAAGGCUUUCUAAGUUUCACCUUGAAGCAAGAUACAUCAUAAAGCAUUGUCUAGGUACAACUUGCACUUUCCUGUCCAAGCCUCAGACCCUGUUCUUCAUCUGGGCCCACAGAGCAACAGCUUCCACUUUUGUGGCCAAAGAAAAAUGCUAACCAGCUUGUAAUUGCUGUAAGGAGAUGGAGUUUCACUUACAUCCAGGCUGGAAUGCAGUGGCGUGAUCUUGGCUCACUGGAACCUCCACCUCCUGGGUUCAAGCAAUUCUCGUGCUUCAGCCUCCCGAGUAGCUGGGAUUAUAGGUACGCUCUUUCAUGCCCAGCUAAUUUUUGUAUUUGUAGUACAGAUGGGGUUUUGCCAUGUUGGCCAGGCUGGUCUUGAACUCCUGGCCUCAAGUGAUCUGCCUGCCUCAGCCUCCCAAAGUGCUGGGAUUACAGGUGUGAGCCACCAUGCCCAACCUCAUUUAUUUAUUCGUGUGUGUGUGUGUGUGUGUGUGUGUGUGUGUGUGUGUAUAACUGCCUAAUAGCUUAUACCUUAAGAGAGCCUUAAAUAGUAUAAGAAAGAAAAGAUAAACAAAGGGCAAGACUGUCACAUCUGUGUGGCUACAAAAGGAAAAUAUUCCUUACACAGCAUAUUUCCUACAUGAUUGACAAAGCUAGCAAUCUGCAUUCAAAAGCAUGUAGCCCAUGUACCACAGGCUACAUACAGGCUCUCAGGCUAAUGAUCAGAAUAACAAUUAUGAGUAACUUUUCCCGAAUGCUUACUAAGUGCCAGGCACUACACUAAGUGUUGUUUUGUUUUGUUUUGUUUUUGAGACAGAGUCUCACUGUGUCACCCAGGCUGGAGUGCAGUGGUGAGAUCUUGGAUCACUGCAACCUCCUCCCAGGUUCAAGCGAUUCUCCUGCCUCAGCCACCCAAGUAGCUGGGAUUACAGGCGUGUACCACCAUGCCCAGCUACUUUUUGUGUUUUUAGUAGAGACCGGGUUUCACUAUGUUGGCCAGGAUGGUCUAAAACUCCUGACCUAAGGUGAUCCACCUGCCUCAGCCUCCCAAAGUGCUGGGAUGACAGGCAUGAGCCACUGUGCCCGGCCUUACACUAAGUGUUUUGCAUAAUGUUAUAUGCCUUGUUUAAUCCUCAUUUUUCGAAGGAGGCUCCUGAGACUCACAGAAGUGAGCUGCACAGAGUCAUGUGAUUGAUAAGUGGUUAAGCUGAGGUUCAAAUACAGGCCACUGAAUUUCAAACUAAAAACCCACAAUCAUUCCAGGCACCACCUUAAAGUUCUACUUAUAAGGGGCCAGCGAGUGGCACACGGCCCAGGACGAAAAAGUGAGUGAGGAUAUUCAAACACAAGUCACAUCACGACAUGGCAAAAACAGAAAAACUUUGAUGUUCUCCAUCUGUUCUUCAGACAGAGAGCUCAAACAUAAGAGAGUAGGGCUCAACUUUAAGACAGAAACUGCCCAGCACCAUCUGCAGGUGGAUUGCAUUGUUUGGGGAGGCAGUCACAUGACCCAGAUCUGCUUCCUGCCUCUGCUUGCAGAAGUCUAACACUCUGAGGGCUAACACCAAUCCUGCUUGCAGGAUUCUAACACUCUGAGGCUCCGAGGUUGUUAAAGUCCCUGUCUCCCACACUACCAACCCCACUGUCAGCUUGACCAUGAGUGAAUGCCUUCACCAAUGUAUAGAAAGGACCUUGCUAAUAGGAAAAAAGAUGAGCCUGGAGCCUAAACAGGAAGGCUUUCUCUUCCACGGAUUGGAAGCACCGCUAAAGAAGCUGGCUGACUUGUGAGGUUCGGGGAUAACGAAGUAUGAAUGUACAGCUCCGGGUACUGUGCUUGGAGCAUAUGAAACAUGCAACACAUGACUAGUGUUGUUAUACAGUUUUCAUUCCCACAGUCUCUAACAAAAUAUAGUCAUACGUCUUUUUUUAAAAAGACGUGUUGGAUUCUAGUGCUGAGAAGAAGAGAAGCUACCACUAAUAUAGCAUGAGAGAGUGGCAGACAGAGAGAUCCCUGGGGACCCACAUUUUUCAGGGAGAAACCCCAAUUCUUUCUGCCCUUCAAGCAGUGGCACACAGCAGAAAGUGAAAUCAUUCAUUGGACAGCUUGAUUGGAAACUGUGAUUUAUAUUACAGGGAUCUUUUUGCCACAAUAGCCUAAUCUAAAUCAGGCCAUUAUUUCAUACAAGCCAUUAUUUCAUAAAGUUUUACAUUUUAACCUGUAACUCAGGUACCAAGUUUCCUCAAGCUACACAUUCCCACUCAUCAACAAUAUCAUUGGUUUGACAUUAUACAUACAAAAAGAGCAAUUUUUUAAGAAAAACAGUUAUAAGCUGAUACAUCAUUUUCAACACACCCUAUAUAUAAAGUUGCUGUGUUUCAGAGGUUAUUUGGAUUAUUUUAAUCUAUUGAAAAAAAAAGCUAACACGACACUUUUGGACAGUUCAGCCUCCUUUUUCUUUGCUUUGAUGGUGUUCUUUUCUCCUUUUCUCCCUCUAGUUUUUAUCUCUGUUCAAAAGCAAGAUUUUAAAUCCUGUAAGUAGAAAUUGGAACAACUUCUGGGCUUUGCACAGCACCUAGCUAGUUCUUCAGGAUAUUCUUUGUUCUAUUUUUUAACAUACAUUUUUAAAGGUAAUAAUAAACUAAACUUUGACCUUUAAAAUCUUCAAAUAAAUCAAUCAGCAGAGAAAUAACUAGGUAAAGAGCAGAAUGGAAAACAAUCAAACAAGGCUGGAAAGUCAUAGAAAAUUCCUAAAAUUGUGUGUUUGUAUGUGUGUGUGUGUGUGUGUGCAUGUUGUUGUUCUUAUUGUUCAUUUGUAUAUGUGUGAUUUGAGCAACAUUUGAGAAAAAAAAAAUAAGAAAAUGAGGAA